AUAAGAAUAAUAAUGAUGUUGAUG
rnacentral:siRNA from 1 species